rnacentral:snRNA from 1 species
UUGCUUUGGCAGCACAUGUACUAAAAACUGGGAUGCUACAGAGAAGAUUAGUAUGGCCUCCGUGCAAGGAUGACAUGCAAAAUUGUUUU